rnacentral:rRNA from 1 species
GGGCCCGCACAAGCGGUGGAGCAUGUGGUUUAAUUCGAUGAUACGCGAGGAACCUUACCAGGGCUUAAAUGUAGUCUGACAGCUUUAGAGAUAGAGUUUUCUUCGGACAGAUUACAAGGUGCUGCAUGGUUGUCGUCAGCUCGUGCCGUGAGGUGUCAGGUUAAGUCCUAUAACGAGCGCAACCCCUGUCGUUAGUUGCCAGCAUGUCAUGAUGGGGACUCUAACGAGACUGCCGGUGCAAACCGUGAGGAAGGUGGGGAUGACGUCAAAUCAUCACGGCCCUUACGUCCUGGCCACACACGUGCUACAAUGGCCAGUACAGAGAGCAGCCAAUGCGCAAGCAUGAGCGAA